rnacentral:rRNA from 1 species
UACGGAGGGUGCAAGCGUUGUUCGGAAUUACUGGGCGUAAAGCGCGUGUAGGCGGUUGAGCAAGUCAGAUGUGAAAUCCUUCCGCUCAACGGGAGAAGUGCAUUUGAAACUACUCAACUAGAGUACGGGAGAGGAGAGUGGAAUUCCCGGUGUAGAGGUGAAAUUCGUAGAUAUCGGGAGGAACACCGGUGGCGAAGGCGGCUCUCUGGCCCGAUACUGACGCUGAGGCGCGAAAGCGUGGGGAGCAAACAGG